rnacentral:lncRNA from 1 species
GUUAUAUGCAUGUAGCGUGUUGGAGAUAUGGGGGUAGACAGGCUGUGAAGGACAGAGGAUGGUUGAGGGCUCUUGGAAUAAGACCGGUUAGUGUGUACUGAUGAUUACACACGAAAUCCAAGAACCAGAAACAAAAAGAGUCUGUCUCAGAUGACUCAGUGGAUUUGGGUGGCAGUGCUAAGCGCUCCAGUGUUCUGGACAGCCUGGACAGAGCCUCUCAGAAACCACCACCAAAGAAGACAUCAGCUGUCCCUGUGCCGUGGUAGCAGGAGGAGGAGGACAGCGAAGAGACACCUGGCAGAGGAUUGCUGAGAUCUGAAAAGAUGUUCCGUAAGUCUCUGAGAAGAUCCCAGCCCAUCCAGGAGGGGGAAGAGGAGCUGCAGCAUCAGGGAGUCGAGGUGGGUUCAGAGGAGGAGGAGGAGGGGGCAGAGCCUGUCAUCUUCAGCAGAGACCGUCUGGAGCCUGAGGGUGUCUGCUCUGACUCUGUGAUGGCGUCCGGACCAGGUCAGAACGCUGCAGUGGGUCUUAGUCUGGGCAUGGACAGCCUGGAGGAGGAAGAGGAGAAGGCCCACCUGGAGGGAGGUGCGUCCUCCACCAUAGACUACUCCAGACUCAACAAAGAUCUGGAUUCCACCAGCGCCUCCACCACAGCUACCACCCUCAGGAAAGCAGAGGCGGCUGUGGCAGAGGUCGAUCAGAGAGAGGAGGAGAAAGCUAUGGAGUCUGACAGACUCUCCCCAGCCUCCAACCACUACAGCGAGGAUGAGCACUUUGAAGAUGAGGUCAUUGAGGAGCAGAGAAAUUGGAAGCCUAAAAGUCCUGCCAUGCUCACCAAAGUGUCCCUCCAUGAUUCUCUGGACUCAACCGUUGAGCUCCUGCCCCCUGGAGCGGACAGUGACACCAGAGAGGAACUAGGGAGCGGAGGAGUCCAUAGACGGCACUAG